ACAACGAAGAGUUUGAUCCUGGCUCAGGAUGAACGCUAGCGACAGGCUUAACACAUGCAAGUCGAGGGGCAGCACAGGUAGCAAUACCGGGUGGCGACCGGCGCACGGGUGAGUAACGCGUAUGCAACUUACCUAUCAGAGGGGGAUAACCCGGCGAAAGUCGGACUAAUACCGCAUGAAGCAGGGGCCCCGCAUGGGGAUAUUUGCUAAAGAUUCAUCGCUGAUAGAUAGGCAUGCGUUCCAUUAGGCAGUUGGCGGGGUAACGGCCCACCAAACCGACGAUGGAUAGGGGUUCUGAGAGGAAGGUCCCCCACAUUGGUACUGAGACACGGACCAAACUCCUACGGGAGGCAGCAGUGAGGAAUAUUGGUCAAUGGGCGUAAGCCUGAACCAGCCAAGUCGCGUGAGGGAUGAAGGUUCUAUGGAUCGUAAACCUCUUUUAUAAGGGAAUAAAGUGCGGGACGUGUCCCGUUUUGUAUGUACCUUAUGAAUAAGGAUCGGCUAACUCCGUGCCAGCAGCCGCGGUAAUACGGAGGAUCCGAGCGUUAUCCGGAUUUAUUGGGUUUAAAGGGUGCGUAGGCGGCCUUUUAAGUCAGCGGUGAAAGUCUGUGGCUCAACCAUAGAAUUGCCGUUGAAACUGGGGGGCUUGAGUAUGUUUGAGGCAGGCGGAAUGCGUGGUGUAGCGGUGAAAUGCUUAGAUAUCACGCAGAACCCCGAUUGCGAAGGCAGCCUGCCAAGCCAUGACUGACGCUGAUGCACGAAAGCGUGGGGAUCAAACAGGAUUAGAUACCCUGGUAGUCCACGCAGUAAACGAUGAUCACUAGCUGUUUGCGAUACACAGUAAGCGGCACAGCGAAAGCGUUAAGUGAUCCACCUGGGGAGUACGCCGGCAACGGUGAAACUCAAAGGAAUUGACGGGGGCCCGCACAAGCGGAGGAACAUGUGGUUUAAUUCGAUGAUACGCGAGGAACCUUACCCGGGUUUGAACGCAUUCGGACCGAGGUGGAAACACCUUUUCUAGCAAUAGCCGUUUGCGAGGUGCUGCAUGGUUGUCGUCAGCUCGUGCCGUGAGGUGUCGGCUUAAGUGCCAUAACGAGCGCAACCCUUGCCACUAGUUACUAACAGGUAAAGCUGAGGACUCUGGUGGGACUGCCAGCGUAAGCUGCGAGGAAGGCGGGGAUGACGUCAAAUCAGCACGGCCCUUACAUCCGGGGCGACACACGUGUUACAAUGGCGUGGACAAAGGGAGGCCACCUGGCGACAGGGAGCGAAUCCCCAAACCACGUCUCAGUUCGGAUCGGAGUCUGCAACCCGACUCCGUGAAGCUGGAUUCGCUAGUAAUCGCGCAUCAGCCAUGGCGCGGUGAAUACGUUCCCGGGCCUUGUACACACCGCCCGUCAAGCCAUGGGAGCCGGGGGUACCUGAAGUCCGUAACCGAAAGGAUCGGCCUAGGGUAAAACUGGUGACUGGGGCUAAGUCGUAACAAGGUAGCCGUACCGGAAGGUGCGGCUGGAACACCUCCUUU
rnacentral:rRNA from 1 species